AACGAACGCUGGCGGCAGGCCUAACACAUGCAAGUCGAACGCCUGUAGCAAUACAGGAGUGGCGCACGGGUGCGUAAUACGUAGGUAAUGUACCGUUUGGUGUGGAAUAACCGACCGAAAGGUUGGCUAAUACCGCAUACGUUCUCUUGAGGUUCGCCGAUGGAGAAGAAAGGGGGGCAACUCUCGCUGAACGAUCAGCCUGCGUCCCAUCAGCUAGUUGGUGAGGUAACGGCUCACCAAGGCUACGAUCUGUAGCUGGUCUGAGAGGACGACCAGCCACACUGGGACUGAGACACGGCCCAGACUCCUACGGGAGGCAGCAGUGGGGAAUCUUGCGCAAUGGGCGAAAGCCUGACGCAGCGACGCCGCGUGGGUGAUGAAGGCCUUCGGGUUGUAAAGCUCUGUGGGGAGAGACGAAUAAGACGUGGCUAAUAUCCACGGCGAUGACGGUAUCUCCUUAGCAAGCACCGGCUAACUCUGUGCCAGCAGCCGCGGUAAGAC
rnacentral:rRNA from 1 species